CGCCAGACUCCUACGGGAGGCAGCAGUGGGGAAUAUUGCACAAUGGGGGAAACCCUGAUGCAGCGACGCCGCGUGAGUGAAGAAGUAUUUCGGUAUGUAAAGCUCUAUCAGCAGGGAAGAAAUAGCGACCUUUGGGUCGCCAGACGGUACCUGAUUAAGAAGCCCCGGCUAACUACGUGCCAGCAGCCGCGGUAAUACGUAGGGGGCAAGCGUUAUCCGGAUUUACUGGGUGUAAAGGGAGCGUAGACGGUGAUGCAAGUCAGAAGUGAAAGCCCGGGGCUCAACUCCGGGACUGCUUUUGAAACUGUGUGACUGGAGUGCAGGAGAGGUAAGCGGAAUUCCUGGUGUAGCGGUGAAAUGCGUAGAUAUCAGGAGGAACACCAGUGGCGAAGGCGGCUUACUGGACUGUAACUGACGUUGAGGCUCGAAAGCGUGGGGAGCAAACAGGAUUAGAUACCCGCGUA
rnacentral:rRNA from 1 species